rnacentral:rRNA from 1 species
GGGGAAUAUUGCGCAAUGGGCGAAAGCCUGACGCAGCCAUGCCGCGUGUGUGAAGAAGGCCUUCGGGUUGUAAAGCACUUUCAAUUGGGAGGAAAGGUUCACGGCUAAUACCCGUGAGCUGUGACGUUACCUUUAGAAGAAGCACCGGCUAACUCCGUGCCAGCAGCCGCGGUAAUACGGAGGGUGCGAGCGUUAAUCGGAAUUACUGGGCGUAAAGCGCGCGUAGGUGGUCUGUUAAGUCGGAUGUGAAAGCCCCGGGCUCAACCUGGGAACUGCAUCCGAUACUGGCAGACUAGAGUGCGGGAGAGGGAGGUAGAAUUCCACGUGUAGCGGUGAAAUGCGUAGAUAUGUGGAGGAAUACCAGUGGCGAAGGCGGCCUCCUGGCUCGACACUGACACUGAGGUGCGAAAGCGUGGGGAGCAAAC